GGCCUCAAAUCAGACAAGAGUACCCGCUGAACUUAAGCAUAUCAAUAAGCGGAGGAAAAGAAACUAACAAGGAUUCCCCUAGUAACGGCGAGUGAAGCGGGAACAGCUCAAAUUUUAAAUCUGGCUGCUUUGUAGUCCGAGUUGUAAUUUGAAGGAGUCUUGCCGCUGGCAAAACGAUGGCACAAGUCCUCUGGAACGGGGCAUCGUAGAGGGUGAGAAUCCCGUCUCUGGUCAUCACGCGCUGGCAUACGGCAGGCAUCCGAAGAGUCGAGUUGUUUGGGAUUGCAGCCCCAAAUGGGUGGUAAACUCCAUCUAAGGCUAAAUAUUGGCGAGAGACCGAUAGCGAACAAGUACCGUGAGGGAAAGAUGAAAAGAACUUUGGAAAGAGAGCUAAACAGUAUGUGAAAUUGUUGAAAGGGAAACGAUUGAAG
rnacentral:rRNA from 1 species